GAUGAACGCUGGCGGCGUGCCUAAUACAUGCAAGUCGAGCGAACAGACGAGGAGCUUGCUCCUCUGACGUUAGCGGCGGACGGGUGAGUAACACGUGGAUAACCUACCUAUAAGACUGGGAUAACUUCGGGAAACCGGAGCUAAUACCGGAUAAUAUAUUGAACCGCAUGGUUCAAUAGUGAAAGACGGUUUUGCUGUCACUUAUAGAUGGAUCCGCGCCGCAUUAGCUAGUUGGUAAGGUAACGGCUUACCAAGGCGACGAUGCGUAGCCGACCUGAGAGGGUGUACGGCCACACUGGAACUGAGACACGGUCCAGACUCCUACGGGAGGCAGCAGUAGGGAAUCUUCCGCAAUGGGCGAAAGCCUGACGGAGCAACGCCGCGUGAGUGAUGAAGGUCUUCGGAUCGUAAAACUCUGUUAUUAGGGAAGAACGAAUGUGUAAGUAACUAUGCACGUCUUGACGGUACCUAAUCAGAAAGCCACGGCUAACUACGUG
rnacentral:rRNA from 1 species